GUUCAUAAGACAGUUGCAGUGUGCUACGAAGCAGAAACGGAGCGUUUUGAAUAAGUUUCAAAACGCAUCGUUUCAUUAUUCACGGUUGAAAAGUCGAAGGAAAGAAGGGUGGCUUCUGCAGAUGAUGUGUGCCUCUCUCUAAAGUUUUCGUUUCUCUGACUAGAAGGGGUUCUAGGGCUUUCAUGUGCUGCUUCAAUCCGGCAUGAUUUUAACGGCAAUGAUGCGGUUGUCGAGACAGUUAUUAACGAGGAGAUCAACGGUGAGCUUUGAUGGAGGUAUCGUUUUCAAUUGAUAAUCGGAUGGUUUAGAUUGCUUUUGCCAGCUGUAGUUAGUUAUAGUUCAGUGUAUAAAAGAUGUAAUUUGUCACAAUUUAUUGUAUGAUUUUUGAGGCUAUUGAAUGAAACUUUAGGUAUUAUUCGUUCUUCUUCUCUCUGUAUUGUCUUGAGUGCUUAUGUUGAUGAUAAUAGUUUUGUUUUUAGGGUUCUUGGUGUUUGAUAGUUAAUUCUGCUUUCUCUGUGAUUCUGAUUGCUUAAAGUAGUUUAAUAGAUUAUCGGAGAAGUUCUUUUUGGUAUAUCUGUUGCUGGAGGUGUUGAAUUAGGUCCUCAAGAUUCUUGAGGACCACAUCAAUAUGAUCAUGCUUUUGUGGCACGAUGCAUUUAAGAGCAAGCAAAGGGCCAGUCAGCAGAACAUUCAUCUGGAGAAGGCGGCAGUGUUGUUUAAUUUGGGGGCAGUGUACAGUCAGAUUGGGUUGUCGUUUGAUCAUGCCAACAUGGAGGGGCGGCGGGAGGCAUCACAUGCAUUCAUUGUGGCAGCCGGAGCCUUUCCUUAUUUGAGAGAUAAUGCGUCCACAAAGGCGAGUAUGGGGAGCUCCAUGAUGGUGUAUAUCAGCCUCGUGCGCCAGAAUGUUGGAGAGAUUGAUGCUAGCCCAAGCUCAAGGGUGUGUGUUUGAGAAUACGAUUGCUAAAGGGAGUAUGCCUGGUGUUUGCACUAAAAUUUCUAGACAAGUUAGUGCUUUUUUUGAAGCUUUGAUUGAUUUAUUAAUUAAUCAAUUUAGUAAAUGUUUUUAUGUAUUGAAUUGUGACGCAUUGAAAAACUAUUUCGCAUAAGUUUAGAUUGUGUAAAUAUAUAGGUUUUACAGUGUUUAACUUUUAGGAUAUUAAAUAUGUAAAGAUUGCAUAUAUAUUUGGAUUUUGUAGUGCAUGAUUUGUGAGGUUUAAGGUUAUGUUAUCUUAUUGAUUUGUUUGUUUUAAUAAUAAAAUUCGAGCAAUAUUAGUAGUGUUAGCUUUGAUUGAACUGUGAUUAGUACGGUUAUGAAGGUGACUGGAGUUUUGAUGGUGAGUUUGUUGAUUUAAGAAUGAAAUUUUUUUAGGAAAGGUGAGGGAUAGUGUUGUUGGGUUUUUCCGGUGUGAUUUUGAUGUAAAAGCCAUUUUUUUUAUACUGUCUGUUACUGACAUCUCAGGCGUCAUUCUUGCCGGUGAGUAGUUCUUCUUCCCAAUUUGUUAAUUAUAUGCAAUUCUUACAUAUAUCGUAGUUAUCUGUCUUAAUCUUGCAAAAGUGAUUAAGUUGCUUCAUUCUGAUGUUUUAUCAGCCUGCUGACAUUUAUAAUUGCAGGGCACGUUUUAAUAUACGUGGAUCCCGAGUCAAGUCAUGCUGUUGUUGGUUGGGCUGCAAAAACCUUUUCAACAGCAGUGUUUUUCAUAUAUGAGCAGGUGGAAGCCGGGGCUCAGUUGCAGAGCACUUAGGAGGUAGCAGAGAGGGUGCUUUAGGCUGCUUAUCCAAGACGUGUGCUGUUUCAACUUUAGGUUUUGGCUUCUCUUGUAUCUUUUCAGCCAGAGAUGGCUUACAAGCAGCCCUCUCUGGUAUUUUCUCCAAGGGAGCUACAUGAGCUACACCUUCACCAGAUUUUGAAAUGAUAGCAAUUUUGAAACCUGGUUCUACAGCUUCUCCUUUGGCAAUAAGCUGCAAGAAAUUAAAACACAGAAGCUAGCAGGAACAUUAAUAAAUCUGAACCACGGGGUGUUCGGGCUUGGUUUGAUUCAUAUCUAGCCCUAGUUUUUUAUAAACCCUUAAAACCAAGCAAGACGGGUUUAUAAGUUUUUUUAGUAAGAAAUUCAACAACCUAUAGUUGAAAAUAUGUAUUUGUUUAGUUUCAACAUGUAUAUAAAUAAUCCAAUUAUUUAGGGUAUAGGGUUUAUUUUUA